UCCCUGGCCAAAGACUGACGCUCAUGUGCGAAAGUGUGGGUAGCGAACAGGUUUAGAUACCCUGGUAGUCCACGCCGUAAACGAUGUCUACUAGCUGUUCGUGGUCUUGUACUGUGAGUAGCGCAGCUAACGCACUAAGUAGACCGCCUGGGGAGUACGGUCGCAAGAUUAAAACUCAAAUGAAUUGACGGGGGCCCGCACAAGCGGUGGAGCAUGUGGUUUAAUUCGACGCAACGCGAAGAACCUUACCUACUCUUGACAUCUAGCGAAGAUUGCAGAGAUGCAGUUGUGCCUUCGGGAACGCUAAGACAGGUGCUGCAUGGCUGUCGUCAGCUCGUGUUGUGAAAUGUUGGGUUAAGUCCCGCAACGAGCGCAACCCUUAUCCUUAGUUGCCAGCACGUAAUGGUGGGAACUCUAGGGAGACUGCCGGUGAUAAACCGGAGGAAGGUGGGGACGACGUCAAGUCAUCAUGGCCCUUACGAGUAGGGCUACACACGUGCUACAAUGGUACGUACAGAGGGAGGCAAGCUGGCGACAGUGAGCGGAUCUCUUAAAGCGUAUCGUAGUCCGGAUCGCAGUCUGCAACUCGACUGCGUGAAGUCGGAAAUCGCUAGUAAUCGCAAAUCAGAAUGUUGCGGUGAAUACGUUCCCGGGCCUUGUACACACCGCCCGUCACACCAUGGGAGUGGGUUGCAAAAGAAGUAGGUAGCUUUAACCCUUCGGGGAGGGCGCUUACCACUUUGUGAUUCAUGACUGGGGUGAAGUCGUAACAAGGU
rnacentral:rRNA from 1 species